rnacentral:rRNA from 1 species
GACGAACCGUGCAAACGUUAUUCGGAAUCACUGGGCAUAAAGGGGGCUUAGGGGGCUUGACAAGUCAGGGGUGAAAUCCGGCAGCUUAACUGUCGCAGUGCCUUUGAUACUGUCGAGCUCGAGGGAGGUAGGGGUCUGUGGAACUUCCGGUGGAGCGGUGAAAUGCGUUGAUAUCGGGAGGAACACCGGUGGCGAAGGCGGCGACCUGGGUCGAGACUGACGCUGAGGCGCGAAAGCGUGGGGAGCAAACAGG